rnacentral:rRNA from 1 species
GACGAACGCUGGCGGCGUGCUUAACACAUGCAAGUCGAACGGAAAGGCCCUGCUUUUGUGGGGUGCUCGAGUGGCGAACGGGUGAGUAACACGUGAGUAACCUGCCCUUGACUUUGGGAUAACUUCAGGAAACUGGGGCUAAUACCGGAUAGGAGCUCCUGCUGCAUGGUGGGGGUUGGAAAGUUUCGGCGGUUGGGGAUGGACGCGCGGCUUAUCAGCUUGUUGGUGGGGUAGUGGCUUACCAAGGCUUUGGCGGGUAGCCGGCCUGAGAGGGUGACCGGCCACAUUGGGACUGCGAUACGGCCCAGACUCCUACGGGAGGCAGCAGUGGGGAAUAUUGCACAAUGGGCGGAAGCCUGAUGCAGCAACGCCGCGUGCGGGAUGACGGCCUUCGGGUUGUAAACCGCUUUCGCCUGUGACGAAGCGUGAGUGACGGUAAUGGGUAAAGAAGCACCGGCUAACUACGUG